rnacentral:lncRNA from 1 species
AUCUAUUACUACUGAGAAGAGAAUUGGGGCACCUAUGUCCUCUCUGAAAGAUGCGCAGAAGAUUGUUGAAGAAGGUCCUGUUGAUCAGUGGGGGCGCGUGGUAGAGGUCGCCGACAACAAGGGAAUAACUGGUUUGGGGUUCCAGAAGGGUUCGUCAGCCAUUAGAUCUAAAGAGAUGCAACUCAGCUUCCGUAGAGGAUGGUUCAUUCAUGGGAAUGAACAACACUUAACUGUUGUGCUAGAGGACAAUGAAGAGGAAGACUGCACCAACUUUGUGACGCAUGGAUAUACAUGCAACAAUUGGACUGCUGUUGAUAUUCCUGUUAUUUUGCAUCAAUCUAAGUAAUUGCUUUAUUAUUUUAAAAAUCUUUCUCCUAUGCCUAAGGGAGAAGUGAACAUUGUUGGGCAUUUUAAAUUGAUCAUCAAUAAAAUUAAUUCUAUUCA